rnacentral:rRNA from 1 species
GACGAACGCUGGCGGCGUGCUUAACACAUGCAAGUCGAACGGUGACGAGGAGCUUGCUCCUCCGAUCAGUGGCGAACGGGUGAGUAACACGUGAGUAACCUGCCCCAGACCCUCGGGAUAACAGUUGGAAACAGCUGCUAAUACCGGAUACGAGACGGAGAGGCAUCUCUACCGUCUGGAAGAUUUAUCGGUCUGGGAUGGACUCGCGGCCUAUCAGCUUGUUGGUGAGGUAAAGGCUCACCAAGGCGACGACGGGUAGCCGGCCUGAGAGGGCGACCGGCCACACUGGGACUGAGACACGGCCCAGACUCCUACGGGAGGCAG